UACGUAGGGUGCAAGCGUUGUCCGGAAUUAUUGGGCGUAAAGAGCUCGUAGGCGGUCUGUCGCGUCGGCUGUGAAAUCCCGAGGCUCAACCUCGGGUCUGCAGUCGAUACGGGCAAACUAGAGUAUUGCAGGGGAGACUGGAAUUCCUGGUGUAGCGGUAAAAAUGCGCAGAUAUCAGGAGGAACACCGAGUGGCGAAGGCAGGUCUCUGGGCAUU
rnacentral:rRNA from 1 species